CUUUUCAUCAUAGAUCAGUUGCUGUCAUAUCAUAAUGAUAGUGACUCCUAAUACAAAAGGAGUUGGCUUCAGAAAGGAUUCUGCAAUGUACGAGGUUGAUUUGUUAAAAAGUGAUGCAUAUGGUGAUGUAGUAUUGAAGAUUAGUGCAACACAGGUGCUGGAUGAGUUUGAUAAUAGUUUAGAAGACAACUGAGUAUUAAGGCAGUCUAUAUUACCACUUAUUAAUAACUGUUCAAUAAUCAUUUAUUCAAUUUCAAUAAGGGUUUGUGUCACUUUUACGUCUCUUGAGUCCAAGCCCCUUUAA